GUGGGGAAUUUUGGACAAUGGGCGCAAGCCUGAUCCAGCAAUGCCGCGUGCAGGAAGAAGGCCUUCGGGUUGUAAACUGCUUUUGUACGGAACGAAACGGUCCUGGUUAAUACCUGGGGCUAAUGACGGUACCGUAAGAAUAAGCACCGGCUAACUACGUGCCAGCAGCCGCGGUAAUACGCAGGGUGCGAGCGUUAAUCGGAAUUACUGGGCGUAAAGCGUGCGCAGGCGGUGCUGUAAGACAGGCGUGAAAUCCCCGGGAUCAACCUGGGAAUUGCGCUUGUGACUGCAGUGCUGGAGUACGGCAGAGGGGGAUGGAAUUCCGCGUGUAGCAGUGAAAUGCGUAGAUAUGCGGAGGAACACCGAUGGCGAAGGCAGUCCCCUGGGCCUGUACUGACGCUCAUGCACGAAAGCGUGGGGAGCAAACAGGAUUAGAUACCCCUGUAGUCC
rnacentral:rRNA from 1 species